AGGACGAACGCUGGCGGCGUGCCUAAUACAUGCAAGUCGAACGGUCUUUCUAUGGAAGCUUGCUUCCACUGAGAAGAUAGUGGCGAACGGGUGAGUAACACGUGGGUAACCUGCCCAUAAGAGGGGGGAUAACAUCCGGAAACGGGUGCUAAUACCGCAUAGUUUUCUUGAUCGCAUGAUUGGGAAAGGAAAGACGGCCUUUGUGCUGUCGCUUAUGGAUGGACCCGCGGCGUAUUAGUUAGUUGGUGAGGUAACGGCUCACCAAGACGAUGAUACGUAGCCGACCUGAGAGGGUGAUCGGCCACAUUGGGACUGAGACACGGCCCAAACUCCUACGGGAGGCAGCAGUAGGGAAUCUUCCGCAAUGGACGAAAGUCUGACGGAGCAACGCCGCGUGAGUGAAAGAAGGUUUUCGGAUCGUAAAACUCUGUUGUCAGAGAAGGACAAGUUGGAGAGUAACUGCUCCAGCCUUGACGGUAUCUGACCAGAAAGCCACGGCUAACUACGUGCCAGCCGCGGC
rnacentral:rRNA from 1 species